rnacentral:rRNA from 1 species
GACGAACGCUGGCGGCGUGCUUAACACAUGCAAGUCGAGCGGUAAGGCCCUUUCGGGGGUACACGAGCGGCGAACGGGUGAGUAACACGUGGGUGACCUGCCCUCAGCUCUGGGAUAAGCCUGGGAAACCGGGUCUAAUACCGGACAUGACUCCAUGACGCAUGUUGUGGGGUGGAAAGCCUUGUGCGGCUGAGGAUGGGCCCGCGGCCUAUCAGCUUGUUGGUGGGGUGAUGGCCUACCAAGGCGACGACGGGUAGCCGGCCUGAGAGGGCGACCGGCCACACUGGGACUGAGACACGGCCCAGACUCCUACGGGAGGCAGCAGUGGGGAAUCUUGCGCAAUGGGCGAAAGCCUGACGACGCAACGCCGCGUGGAGGAUGAAGGUCUUCGGAUUGUAAACUCCUGUUGCCCGGGACGAAUGGCUCCGACCUAACACGUCGGAGUGUGACGGUACCGGGUGAGGAAGCCCGGCUAACUCUGUGCCAGCCGCCGCAGU